AUUCAUUUAGGUAUACGUUAAAUGUUUCCAAUGAUUAGUAUGGCAGUUAAUCCACUAAACCCAGACAUAAUUCCUGAGGCAUGUUUAUACAGAGUUUUGUAUUUCAUCAAGAAAGUGCUGAUUCACAAAGAUUUUAUAUUUAAGAAAAUCUGAGCAUCAUUCAAAAUAACUGUUAACAUGUUUUUCAACUAAACAUGCUUUGUCAACGUAAUAAACUUUAUAAAAACAUUUAUUUUUAUUUUUUUUAUUAAUUAUCAAGUAUAAAGAACAAUGCAUAGUGUGAAAACGCGGAUUAUAAAAAAAGUAUAUUAAGUGCGAUCAGAGGAUCAAGCAGAAACAACGCCAAAGGACUACAUUUCCCAGGAUGCACCUCCACCCUUCAGGUGCGACCGCUUUACCUAUGGGCUUGACGGGAAGAUUCAAAAUCGCGAACCGUUACUGCAUGGAUUACUCUCGAUCUCUUUGUUUGCUCAUCGACAUUACGAGGUCAUGUACACUGUGGUCAACUUUGUGGACGAUGAAGAGGUUUCUGGGUAAAGAUUAUAGAAAUAUAACGAAGUAACAGUGGAAGCUAAAACAUCAGACUGAUCUAGACACUGAAGAAAUUGAUG